rnacentral:rRNA from 1 species
AUUGAACGCUGGCGGCAGUGCCCUUACACAUGCAAGUCGAACGGCAGCACGGGAGCAAUCCUGGUGGUGAGUGGCGAACGGGUGAGUAAUAUAUCGGAACGUGCCCAGUCGUGGGGGAUAACGUAGCGAAAGCUACGCUAAUACCGCAUACGAUCUAUGGAUGAAANCGGGGGAUCGCAAGACCUCGCGCGAUUGGAGCGGCCGAUAUCGGAUUAGGUAGUUGGUGAGGUAAAGGCUCACCAAGCCGACGAUCUGUAGCUGGUCUGAGAGGACGACCAGCCACACUGGGACUGAGACACGGCCCAGACUCCUACGGGAGGCAGCAGUGGGGAAUUUUGGACAAUGGGCGCAAGCCUGAUCCAGCAAUGCCGCGUGCAGGAUGAAGGCCUUCGGGUUGUAAACUGCUUUGUACGGAACGAAACGGUGAGCUCUAAUACAGUUUGCUAAUGACGGUACCGUAAGAAUAAGCACCGGCUAACUACGUG